CCUACGGGCGGCUGCAGUGGGGAAUAUUGGACAAUGGGGGGAACCCUGAUCCAGCCAUGCCGCGUGUGUGAAGAAGGCCCUCGGGUUGUAAAGCACUUUCAGUGAGGAAGAACGCCUGGUGGUUAAUACCCAUCAGGAAAGACAUCACUCACAGAAGAAGCACCGGCUAACUCCGUGCCAGCAGCCGCGGUAAUACGGAGGGUGCGAGCGUUAAUCGGAAUUACUUGGCGUAAAGCGCGCGUAGGUGGCUUGAUAAGCCGGUUGUGAAAGCCCCGGGCUCAACCUGGGAACGGCAUCCGGAACUGUCAAGCUAGAGUGCAGGAGAGGAAGGUAGAAUUCCCGGUGUAGCGGUGAAAUGCGUAGAGAUCGGGAGGAAUACCAGUGGCGAAGGCGGCCUUCUGGACUGACACUGACACUGAGGUGCGAAAGCGUGGGUAGCAAACAGGAUUAGAUACCCUGGUAGUC
rnacentral:rRNA from 1 species